rnacentral:rRNA from 1 species
CCUACGGGGGGCAGCAGUGGGGAAUAUUGCACAAUGUGCGCAAGCCUGAUGCAGCCAUGCCGCGUGUGUGAAGAAGGCCUUCGGGUUGUAAAGCACUUUCAGCGGGGAGGAAGGCGGUGAGGUUAAUAACCUCAUCGAUUGACGUUACCCGCAGAAGAAGCACCGGCUAACUCCGUGCCAGCAGCCGCGGUAAUACGGAGGGUGCAAGCGUUAAUCGGAAUUACUGGGCGUAAAGCGCACGCAGGCGGUCUGUCAAGUCGGAUGUGAAAUCCCCGGGCUCAACCUGGGAACUGCAUUCGAAACUGGCAGGCUAGAGUCUUGUAGAGGGGGGUAGAAUUCCAGGUGUAGCGGUGAAAUGCGUAGAGAUCUGGAGGAAUACCGGUGGCGAAGGCGGCCCCCUGGACAAAGACUGACGCUCAGGUGCGAAAGCGUGGGGAGCAAACAGGAUUAGAUACCCGUGUAGUC